ACGUGCCACUCGUACGCUGCGAUCCUGCGUUCUGUCCACGCGCAUCGGACGGCCGCUCGCGACGCUUUGGUCGUC
rnacentral:sRNA from 18 species